rnacentral:rRNA from 1 species
CCUACGGGGCGCUGCAGUCGAGAAUCAUUCACAAUGGGGGAAACCCUGAUGGUGCGACGCCGCGUGGGGGAAUGAAGGUCUUCGGAUUGUAAACCCCUGUCAUGUGGGAGCAAAUUAAAAAGAUAGUACCACAAGAGGAAGAGACGGCUAACUCUGUGCCAGCAGCCGCGGUAAUACAGAGGUCUCAAGCGUUGUUCGGAAUCACUGGGCGUAAAGCGUGCGUAGGCUGUUUCGUAAGUCGGGUGUGAAAGGCGCGGGCUCAACCCGCGGACGGCACAUGAUACUGGGAGACUAGAGUAAGGGAGGGGGAACCGGAAUUCUCGGUGUAGCAGUGAAAUGCGUAGAUAUCGAGAGGAACACUCGUGGCGAAGGCGGGUUCCUGGACAGUAACUGACGCUGAGGCACGAAGGCCAGGGGAGCGAAAGGGAUUAGAUACCCUUGUAGUC